GAUGAACGCUGGCGGCGUGCCUAAUACAUGCAAGUCGAGCGAACGGACGAGAAGCUUGCUUCUCUGAUGUUAGCGGCGGACGGGUGAGUAACACGUGGAUAACCUACCUAUAAGACUGGGAUAACUUCGGGAAACCGUAGCUAAUACCGGAUAAUAUUUUGAACCGCAUGGUUCAAAAGUGAAAGACGGUCUUGCUGUCACUUAUAGAUGGAUCCGCGCUGCAUUAGCUAGUUGGUAAGGUAACGGCUUACCAAGGCAACGAUGCAUAGCCGACCUGAGAGGGUGAUCGGCCACACUGGAACUGAGACACGGUCCAGACUCCUACGGGAGGCAGCAGUAGGGAAUCUUCCGCAAUGGGCGAAAGCCUGACGGAGCAACGCCGCGUGAGUGAUGAAGGUCUUCGGAUCGUAAAACUCUGUUAUUAGGGAAGAACAUAUGUGUAAGUAACUGUGCACAUCUUGACGGUACCUAAUAAGAAAGCCACGGCUAACUACGUG
rnacentral:rRNA from 1 species